CACAGUACCCCAAUAUCGGUGGAUCCAACACUAAUUACAUCACAGUACCCCAAUAUCAGUGGGUCCAACACUAAUUGAAUCGUGGAAAACAAAUGAAAUAGUGCGAGUGCUAAAUGGACUAAAGCGUAUUUUAAUAAUCUGUUGUAAGAGCAUUGUGAAUACAUAUAAUGCAAAAUUAAUGUGAUAAACGAAAUAAAAAAAUCAAUCCCCAUAUUUGUUCGCUGAGAUGGGUGGUGUUACGUAGCCUUACAAAAUGUAAAACAGUAUUUUUCUGUGAGCACUGUUC